AGAAAUUUAGGUUAUACAUCAAACCAGGGACCUUCAAAGUCCCAAAUAGGGACCACCCCACCCCUAAUUUCUG
rnacentral:tRNA from 1 species